AAAAAGCUCGGCCACUGUAACAACAAAAAUGGAGACGACACAACUUCGAAGAGAAAUCAACUCGAAAUAGCCAAGAGAAUGUUCGAAAACCCCCUCAAAUCCGAUGCUUCCUUUGAUUCCAACCUCCAAAAGCCCAUCUGCUCAAAUCUCCAUUUCGAGGACGAGGACUCGAGGAGUAUUACAAGGAACAAAGGAUAGUGAAAGCUGAAGAGUGGGAUUCGUUUAUGGAGUUUCAGAGUAAGCCAUUACCUUUCAGAGUUUUUUUGCUUAUUUUAGAAUGCAAAUGACGUUGCUUCUAAAUAUUAUUUCUUCUCAAUCAUUCAUGCUCUGUUUUCCUCUCUUCUUAGGCUCUGUUUUGGUUUUUAAUUAGUGCACUGUUAUGUUGCAUAUACAUAUACCAUCGCCUUAGUGUAG